UGGACCUCUGAGACAUUACUGUAGGGGUGGACGGGACUCUCUACAAACUACAUCCACAUUUCUCUGGGAUCAUGCACCAGACAGUAAAUGAACUGGCUCCUAAGUGUAAUGUCAACUUCCUGCUGUCAGAGGACGGCAGUGGGAAAGGAGCAGCACUCAUCACAGCCGUGGGCUGCCGGCUGAGACAGGAGCUGAACAAUAAAUAGAAAAUAUCUCUUCUGUCUUACUGUUAUCACCCCACUCCAUAAGGUUGCCCCUCUCUCCCUCCCACUGUUCUUCCCCCUUGCCUUCUUUCCUCAAUCAAACCAUUCAAGUCAACAUUCUCCUGUAGCUGCUUUAGCCUGUGUACAUGACUGAAAGAGAGAAGGCGAUAGCUUUCUCUGCUGUGUUGAGAAGCAGAGCGCCCGGCACUAUGUUGUAGUUAGAUUAUGUUUGAUUAACCAUUGUAACAACACCCAGACUCUUAAGGGUUUUGCAGUUUUGUGAUUUCUGAGGUUAAACUUAUCACUGAGAUAAAACGAGAACAUUCAACUCCUGUAAAAAUGUGCAGGGUAGGAAAGAGUCCACACGCUCCUGUAAUGCUCCCAUGAGCUGCAUAUCAUCGCCAUCUAGAGGAUUCAUCUGAUAACUGCAGUCUGUCACAAUAUUCCAAGUGCAACAGUUGCAAGGCAAUUUCCAUAAGCACUGCAGAAAAACAUUUAUCCUUGCAACAUGUUCAGUAGAUGCAGGGACAUCUUAAACACUGUUUCAGACCAAAGUCACCAAAUUGUGUCCACUGUAGGCUACUGACUGACAUAAAAGGGAUAUGAAGGGAUAUAUAAACGUGUAAUGAGAUGUAAGGGAAUAUUUUUGCUUUAAGGUUUUUAAUAUCUUACCCAGAUAUAAUACAAUAUGUUAUUCAUACAUUGUUGCUAUUUAUUUUAUUUUUAUAUUGGGAGAUGUUACUGUUGCAAUAUAAUGAGGCGCACAGAGGAAGCCAUCGCCAAAGUCCCCUCAGCUGAUAUCAGGGUUUAAACCAAAUCAGUGCUGAGACGUGACAAAAGAGGGACUCAAACAAGCUUUAUCUGCAGGGAAAGCCAUACCAUAUGCUUGCUGAAUGUGCAGAUUUGGUCUAAUUUAUAGCAAUCCGACUGUACUACAAUGUACUCUACUGUAAAAUAUGUACAAAGAGCACUUGUAUUUUACUAAGUAGAAAUCUUGUUGGUACUAAUAGCAGCUGUUGAUAAGUUGUUAUUGUCUUAAGAAGUACUGGUUACUCUCAUCAUCACAACGACACUUGCCAGUUACUGAGCAACAGCCUUGAAACAGGAAUGUGGUGCUAACAUGGAUGCCAGUGGAACAACAAUGGCCAAACUGUGUAUAAGAAUAUUACAGUAGCUGAAACUUUAAGGGGAAUUUAAACAUUUUGAGAAUAAAGCUUAUCCCUACUCACCCACUCCAUAUGCUCCUAAAGGCCCAGGGGGGUGUUUAAGUGAACUACUGUAUAACUCAUUCAAGUAACACAAUUCAUGCAAAGUCAUAAAUAUUUAUUUUUUUCUUUAAUAAAAUCAAAUAAUCAUAUUAUUGUUGUUAAUAAUUCUCACUGAAAGAAGAUGGAUUUGUUCACUGGCAGUUUUUCAUUUUAGAUGCUGUUUGUUGUUUUUAAUCCUAGACUACAAAAAGACAAAUGUUUUUAAAUUUAGGGUUACUUGGCACUUGUUGUGCAAGGAUGCAUCUUUGAAAUGCUACAAUACAGUUCACUGCCAUCUUUGUUAACCACAGUUAAAAUCCUGACCUGUGGGGACAGAUUAGCACAAACCCAACCUGAAGCUAAACUGCCAAGAUAAAGAGGGCAGCCUCUUCAGCGGGUCCUAAGGUACCCUGACUUUAGACUUUCCCCAGAGUAGUCAGCCUGAAAGCCAGCUCCACAUCACACAGGCACUUUAAUCUCUUUUCCUCUGUUCACAAAACCCAGACUGUAUCUGUCCAACACUGUCAAUCAAUCAGUCACGAAAUAAAGACAAAUCUGUGUCAAUCUGA